rnacentral:tRNA from 7 species
GGAGAGGUAGCUCAGUAGGUUAGAGCACUAGAUUGAAACCCUAGGGGUCGGUGGUUCAAUUCCACCCCUCUCCA